rnacentral:rRNA from 1 species
UCGUAAGGACAUGUGGAGCGCUUAGAAGUGAGAAUGCCGGUGUGAGUAGCGAAAGACGGGUGAGAAUCCCGUCCACCGAUUGACUAAGGUUUCCAGAGGAAGGCUCGUCCGCUCUGGGUUAGUCGGGUCCUAAGCUGAGGCCGACAGGCGUAGGCGAUGGAUAACAGGUUGAUAUUCCUGUACCACCUAUAAUCGUUUUAAUCGAUGGGGG